GACGUAGGAUGCAAGCGUUGUCCGGAUUUAUUGGGCGUAAAGAGUUCGUAGGCGGUCUGUUAAGUCUGAUGUUAAAGAUCGGGGCUCAACCCUGGGAGUGCAUUGGAUACUGGCAGGCUUGAGUGCAGUAGAGGCGAGUGGAAUUCCCAGUGUAGCGGUGAAAUGCGUAGAUAUUGGGAAGAACACCGGUGGCGUAGGCGACUCGCUGGGCUGUAACUGACGCUGAGGAACGAAAGCCAGGGGAG
rnacentral:rRNA from 1 species